UGUUCUGUGGCUUGGUUGAUUAAAGCACCGGACUAGCGAUUUGGGGUCGUGGGUUCGAAUCGCACCAAAACAA
rnacentral:tRNA from 1 species